rnacentral:lncRNA from 1 species
UGAUGCAGUUUGUAUCAUUGUUUUUUCUUUUAGCUAAAGAUGCUCCUAAGCACAUGUGGUGGCUUCAGACGUGGAUUAGCUCAGGACUUCAUCCCUGGAUUUAGAUUUAAAGCUCUAAAAUGGGGAAAAAAUGAGCCCCUAGGAUGAUGACAGAUUCACAAGGGACAAUGAGGAGGAACCUUCCCCUCCACAGGUAUGGUUGGAGCUUGUCUACACCAUGGUGAAGUCAGAUCUUCAUCUGGAAGAUCUUCUUCCCUUCGUCCUAUCUGGAAAUUAACCUAUUCACUUUCUCGUAGGUGACCUUCUUUCUCUUCACUCUCUCCUUCUCCUGAAAAGCAGGAAAAGGAUGCAUGAUGGGCACAAACCCCAUAGAGAUGUAGGUUGACUUAUUUUGCUCUUCUCAAAGUUUAAUGCUCCUUUCAGGUUCCCUGCUCUGGCUAAGUUCAGUAAUGGAGUGAGGCAGUCCUGGCUUUAGAUUUUGACCUCCAUUUCCAGCUUGAAUGGGAUAAAUUCCCAUGUCAAAAAAGAGCUGGAAGAACCACCCCAGGAAUUUUUGGUCCCAGGUCUCUGCUAGGACCUGCCUCUAACAUGAAAUGAAUUUUCUGUCCUUGCUCACAGCAGAGGCCAAGCAGGGAGGGAGGCCAGAAAAACAGGGGGUCAUGCCGGAGUUGUGUUUUUUCCUUCACUCAGCUCUGAAAUAAAAAUAUAUCUCGGGCUUGUUUGGGCA